CCUACGGGAGGCAGCAGUGAGGAAUAUUGGUCAAUGGGCGCGAGCCUGAACCAGCCAAGUCGCGUGAGGGAAGACGGUCCUAUGGAUUGUAAACCUCUUUUGUCGGGGAGCAAAAGACGCCACGCGUGGCGCUCCGAGAGUACCCGAAGAAAAAGCAUCGGCUAACUCCGUGCCAGCAGCCGCGGUAAUACGGAGGAUGCGAGCGUUAUCCGGAUUUAUUGGGUUUAAAGGGUGCGCAGGCGGAAGAUCAAGUCGGCGGUAAAAUUGAGGGGCUCAACCUCUUCUAGCCGUUGAAACUGGUAUUCUUGAGUGAGCGAGAAGUAUGCGGAAGGCGUGGUGGAGCGGUGAAAUGCAUAGAUGUCACGCAGAACUCCGAUUGCGAAGGCAGCAUACCGGCGCUCAACUGACGCUGAUGCACGAAAGUGUGGGUAUCGAACAGGAUUAGAUACCCUUGUAGUC
rnacentral:rRNA from 1 species